rnacentral:pre_miRNA from 1 species
AAACUAAUCCCUCCGUCCCAAAAAAUUUAUCUUAGAUUUGUCUAGAUACAGAUGUAUCAAGUCACAUUUUAGUAUUAGAUACAUCCGUAUCUAGACAAAUCUAAGACAAGAAUUUUGGGACGGAGGGAGUAGUUG